CGCAAGAUCGAAACCGGCAUGGAGGGAAGGAAAAUUUUUGCGGCUAGCACAAUUAACAACCGACUCAGAACUGAAGCGGACAAGGGGAAUCCGACUGUUUAAUAAAAACAUAGCUUUGUGAUGGCCUCAAAAGGUGUUGACACAAAGUGAUUUCUGCCCAGUGCUUUGAAUGUGAAUAUGAAGUAAUUUAUAGAAGCUCAGGUAAACGGCGGGAGUAACUAUGACUCUCUUAAGGUAGCCAAAUGCCUCGUCAUCUGAUUAGUGACGCGCAUGAAUGGAUUAAUGAGAUUCCCACUGUCCCUAUCUACCAUCUAGCGAACCCAUAGCCAAGGGAACGAGCUUGGAAUAAUCAGCGGGGAAAGAAGACCCUGUUGAGCUUGACUCUAGUCCGACUUUGUGAAAUGACUUUCGAGAUAUAGUCUAAGUGGGAGCUAACGCGCCGCUGUAAAACCACUGCUCGCUUAGCCAUUUUACUUACUCCAUGAAGAAGUGGCCGAUUUUUUGGUUCUUAGAUUUAAGCCCUGACUCGUAUCAGGGCAAGCUUUGUGGAGGACACAGUCAGGUGGGGAGUUUGACUGGGGCGGUACAUCUGUUAAAACGUAACGCAGGUGUCCUACGGUGAGCUCAAAGAGAACAGAAAUCUCUUGUAGACCAAAAGGGGAAAAGCUCACUUGAUCUUGAUUUUCAGUACUAAUACAAACCGCGAAAGCGUGGCCUAUCGAUCCUUUAACUUUACAAGUUUUAAGCUAGAGGUGUCAGAAAAGUUACCACAGGGAUAACUGGCUUGUGGCAGCCAAGCGCCCAUAGCGACGUUGCUUUUUGAUCCUUCGAUGUCGGCUCUUCCUAUCAUUGUGAUGUACAAGUCACAACGUGUUGGAUUGUUCACCCGUUAAUAGGGAACGUGAGCUGGGUUUAGACCGUCGUGAGACAGGUUAGUUUUACCCUACUGAUGAAUCGAUGUUGCGACAGUAAUCUUACUUAGUACGAGAGGAACCGUUAGAUCAGAUAAUUGGUUAAUACGGUUAGCUGAAAAGCUAAUGCCGUGAAGCUACCAUCUGUUGGAUUAUGACUGAAAGCCUCUAAGUCAGAAACCAUGCUGGAAAGCAACGCCCAAUCAAUAAUAAUUGA
rnacentral:rRNA from 1 species